rnacentral:tRNA from 1 species
AAAAAAUUAGUUAAAGUAUAACAUUAGUAUGUCAUACUGAAAUUAUUAAAAAUUAAUAUUUUUUA